rnacentral:rRNA from 1 species
AAGCGGAGGAACUAUGUGGUUUAAUUCGAUGAUACGCGAGGUAACCUUACCUGGCUUAAAUGUAGAGUGCAUUUUUUUAGAGAUAGAAAUUCCCUUCGGGGCUUUUCUGCAAGGUGCUGCAUGGUUGUCGUCAGCUCGUGCCGUGAGGUGUCGGGUUAAGUCCCAUAACGAGCGCAACCCUUAUCGUUAGUUGCCAGCUGGUAAAGCAGGGGACUCUAGCGAAACUGCCACCGUAAGGUGAGAGGAAGUGGGGAUGACGUCAAAUCAGCACGGCCCUUAUGUCCAGGGCUACACACGUGUUACAAUGGCCGGCACAGAGGGCAGCUACCUGGUGACAGGAUGCUAAUCUCGAAAACCGGUCUCAGUUCGGAUCGAAGUCUGCAACUCGACUUCGUGAAGCUGGAUUCGCUAGUAAUCGCGCAUCAGCCAUGGCGCGGUGAAUACGUUCCCGGGCCUU